GGUAGACAGAUCAUGCACUUUGGAUUCAUUGGUUAACUUUGCCUUGUCCUUCCAGUGAAAGACUUUCCAGGAAUUAAGAUUGCGGAGGAGUCGGAAUGGAAGAAUAGCAUUUAGGGCUCAACAGGGGUGGUUAACUUGGCUGGAAUGCCCAUAAGUACCAGAUGGUCUUCGGAGAUAAAAACAGAAAUCAAGCAGAGCAUGAUUAGAGUAACAUCAAAAAAGAUAUAGUUGUGGUUUGGCAAAAAUCACGAGUGGUUAGCAAAUUGUUUUCCUGGAUUCAUUUGGAUGACAUUGUUAAUUUAAUAUAUGAAGCACUGAUAAAUCCCUCCUAUGAAGUGUGGCCAGCAUUUAGUAAAGAACAAAGAAGGCAGAGGAUAAUGUUGAGGAUGAUAAUGAAGAUUAAGCUGAUUAUUAUUGUGUUUUAUUGGCUAUAAGAUAGAGUAGUGUUGGAAAUGGAUACAUGUAUGGUUGAUUACUAAUGACUUUUAUUAGAAGAUACUUAUGUAGGAUAUGUUUCUCGUAGAGUAUUACUAGUAAAUUCUAAGUAG